GACGAACGCUGGCGGCGUGCUUAACACAUGCAAGUCGAACGGAAAGGCCCUGCUUUUGUGGGGUGCUCGAGUGGCGAACGGGUGAGUAACACGUGAGUAACCUGUCCUUGACUUUGGGAUAACUUCAGGAAACUGGGGCUAAUACCGGAUAGGAGCUCCUGCUGCAUGGUGGGGGUUGGAAAGUUUCGGCGGUUGGGGAUGGACUCGCGGCUUAUCAGCUUGUUGGUGGGGUAGUGGCUUACCAAGGCUUUGACGGGUAGCCGGCCUGAGAGGGUGACCGGCCACAUUGGGACUGAGAAACGGCCCAGGAUCCUACGGGAGGCAGCAGUGGGGAAUAUUGCACAAUGGGCGGAAGCCUGAUGCAGCAACGCCGCGUGCGGGAUGACGGCCUUCGGGUUGUAAACCGCUUUCGCCUGUGACGAAGCGUGAGUGACGGUAAUGGGUAAAGAAGCACCGGCUAACUACGUG
rnacentral:rRNA from 1 species